GUGGGGAAUAUUGGACAAUGGGUGAAAGCCUGAUCCAGCCAAGCCGCGUGUGUGAAGAAGGUCUUCGGAUUGUAAAGCACUUUAAGUUGGGAGGAAGGGUAGUAACCUAAUACGUUGCUACUUUGACGUUACCGACAGAAUAAGCACCGGCUAACUUCGUGCCAGCAGCCGCGGUAAUACGAAGGGUGCAAGCGUUAAUCGGAAUUACUGGGCGUAAAGCGCGCGUAGGUGGUUCAGUAAGUUGGAAGUGAAAUCCCCGGGCUCAACCUGGGAACUGCUUUCAAAACUGCUGAGCUAGAGUACGGUAGAUGGUGGUGGAAUUUCCUGUGUAGCGGUGAAAUGCGUAGAUAUAGGAAGGCACACCAGUGGCGAAGGCGACCACCUGGACUGAUACUGACACUGAGGUGCGAAAGCGUGGGGAGCAAACAGGAUUAGAAACCCUAGUAGUCC
rnacentral:rRNA from 1 species